rnacentral:rRNA from 1 species
CUACCAUGGCGUUUACGGGUAACGGAGGAUUAGGGUUCGAUUCCGGAGAGGGAGCCUGAGAAACGGCUACCACAUCUAAGGAAGGCAGCAGGCGCGUAAAUUACCCAAUCCUGACUCAGGGAGGUAGUGACAAGAAAUAACGGACCGUUCGCCAUCUGGCGUCGGGACUGCAAUGAGCCGAAUUUACACCCCUUAGCGAGGACCAAUUGGAGGGCAAGUCUGGUGCCAGCAGCCGCGGUAAUUCCAGCUCCAAUAGCGUAUAUUAAAGUUGUUGCAGUUAAAAAGCUCGUAGUUGGAUUUCUGCGAGGGUGCCAAUGUCCGCCGACGCGCGUGCGCAGCGGCGCCCUCGCAUCCUUCUGUUACCACCUCUCGGCAUUCACUUGCCGGUGGUUGGCUCAGAGAAUUUACCUUGAGAAAAUUAGAGUGUUUCAGGCAGGCUAGGCCGGAAUACAUUAGCAUGGAAUAAUGGAAUAGGACUACGGUCUCGUUGUUGGUUUGAGGGACUGCAGUAAUGAUUAAUAGGGAUAGUUGGGGGCAUUAGUAUUUAAUUGUCAGAGGUGAAAUUCUCAGAUUUGUUAAAGACUAACUUAUGCGAAAGCAUUUGCCAAGGAUGUUUUCAUUAAUCAA